rnacentral:rRNA from 1 species
ACGUACGCUGGCGGCACGCCUAACACAUGCAAGUCGAACGAAGUAGCAAUACUUAGUGGCAGACGGGUGAGUAACAUGUGGGUAUCUACCCUUUGGCCUGGAAUAACACGAGGAAACUUGUGCUAAUACCGGAUAAGUCUUUACGGAGAAAGCUUUAUGCACCAUUGGAUGAGCCCGCACUUGAUUAGCUUGUUGGUAGGGUAAAAGCCUACCAAGGCGACGAUCUUUAGCUGGUCUGAGAGGAUGAUCAGCCACAUCGGGACUGAGACACGGCCCGAACUCCUACGGGAGGCAGCAGUGGGGAAUAUUGGACAAUGGGGGCAACCCUGAUCCAGCAAUACCGCGUGUGUGAAGAAGGCCUGAGGGUUGUAAAGCACUUUCAAUUGUGAAGAAAAGUUAGCGGUUAAUAACCGUUAGCCUUGACGUUAACUUUAGAAGAAGCACCGGCUAACUCCGUGCCAGCAGCCGCGGUAAUACGGAGGGUGCAAGCGUUAAUCGGAAUUACUGGGCGUAAAGCGUGCGUAGGCGGUUUAUUAAGUCAGAUGUGAAAGCCCCGGGCUUAACCUGGGAACUGCAUUUGAAACUGGUCAACUAGAGUAUGGUAGAGGAAAGUGGAAUUUCUGGUGUAGCGGUGAAAUGCGUAGAUAUCAGAAGGAACAUCAAUGGCGAAGGCAGCUUUCUGGACCAAUACUGACGCUGAGGUACGAAAGCGUGGGUAGCAAACAGGAUUAGAUACCCUGGUAGUCCACGCCGUAAACGAUGAUAACUAGCCGUUGGGGGGAUUUACCCUUUAGUGGCGAAGCUAACGCGUUAAGUUAUCCGCCUGGGGAGUACGGCCGCAAGGUUAAAACUCAAAGGAAUUGACGGGGACCCGCACAAGCGGUGGAGCAUGUGGUUUAAUUCGAUGCAACGCGAAGAACCUUACCUGGUCUUGACAUCCUGCGAACUUUCUAGAAAUAGAUUGGUGCCUUCGGGAACGCAGUGACAGGUGCUGCAUGGCUGUCGUCAGCUCGUGUCGUGAGAUGUUGGGUUAAGUCCCGUAACGAGCGCAACCCCUAUCCUUAUUUGCCAGCACAUCAUGGUGGGAACUAUAAGGAGACUGCCGGUGAUAAACCGGAGGAAGGCGGGGACGACGUCAAGUCAUCAUGGCCCUUACGACCAGGGCUACACACGUGCUACAAUGGGAAGGACAAAGAGCCGCGAAGCCGCGAGGUGUAGCUAAUCUCAUAAACCUUUUCGUAGUCCGGAUUGGAGUCUGCAACUCGACUCCAUGAAGUCGGAAUCGCUAGUAAUCGUAGAUCAGAAUGCUACGGUGAAUACGUUCCCGGGUCUUGUACUCACCGC